rnacentral:rRNA from 1 species
UAGAGCAAAUCUCAAAAAAACAAUCUCAGUUCAGACUGCAGGCUGCAACUCGCCUGCACGAAGUCGGAAUUGCUAGUAAUCGUAGGUCAGCAUACUACGGUGAAUACGUUCCCGGGCCUUGUACACACCGCCCGUCAAACCAUGAGAGUUGGCAACACCCGAAGUCGGUAGUCUAACCGCAAGGAGGACGCCGCCGAAGGUGGGGUUGAUGAUUAGGGUUAAGUCGUAACAAGGUACC